rnacentral:rRNA from 1 species
AGGUGAUAUGAACCGUUAUAACCGGCGAUUUCCGAAUGGGGAAACCCAGUGUGUUUCGACACACUAUCAUUAACUGAAUCCAUAGGUUAAUGAGGCGAACCGGGGGAACUGAAACAUCUAAGUACCCCGAGGAAAAGAAAUCAACCGAGAUUCCCCCAGUAGCGGCGAGCGAACGGGGAGCAGCCCAGAGCCUGAAUCAGUGUGUGUGUUAGUGGAAGCGUCUGGAAAGGCGCGCGAUACAGGGUGACAGCCCCGUACACAAAAAUGCACAUACUGUGAGCUCGAUGAGUAGGGCGGGACACGUGGUAUCCUGUCUGAAUAUGGGGGGACCAUCCUCCAAGGCUAAAUACUCCUGACUGACCGAUAGUGAACCAGUACCGUGAGGGAAAGGCGAAAAGAACCCCGGCGAGGGGAGUGAAAAAGAACCUGAAACCGUGUACGUACAAGCAGUGGGAGCCUCUUAAUGGGGUGACUGCGUACCUUUUGUAUAAUGGGUCAGCGACUUAUAUUCUGUAGCAAGGUUAACCGAAUAGGGGAGCCGAAGGGAAACCGAGUCUUAACUGGGCGUUAAGUUGCAGGGUAUAGACCCGAAACCCGGUGAUCUAGCCAUGGGCAGGUUGAAGGUUGGGUAACACUAACUGGAGGACCGAACCGACUAAUGUUGAAAAAUUAGCGGAUGACUUGUGGCUGGGGGUGAAAGGCCAAUCAAACCGGGAGAUAGCUGGUUCUCCCCGAAAGCUAUUUAGGUAGCGCCUCGUGAAUUCAUCUCCGGGGGUAGAGCACUGUUUCGGCAAGGGGGUCAUCCCGACUUACCAACCCGAUGCAAACUGCGAAUACCGGAGAAUGUUAUCACGGGAGACACACGGCGGGUGCUAACGUCCGUCGUGAAGAGGGAAACAACCCAGACCGCCAGCUAAGGUCCCAAAGUCAUGGUUAAGUGGGAAACGAUGUGGGAAGGCCCAGACAGCCAGGAUGUUGGCUUAGAAGCAGCCAUCAUUUAAAGAAAGCGUAAUAGCUCACUGGUCGAGUCGGCCUGCGCGGAAGAUGUAACGGGGCUAAACCAUGCACCGAAGCUGCGGCAGCGACACUAUGUGUUGUUGGGUAGGGGAGCGUUCUGUAAGCCUG